GACGAACCGUGCGAACGUUGUUCGGAAUCACUGGGCUUAAAGGGCGCGUAGGCGGGCCGGAUAGUCUGCGGUGAAAUACCUCAGCUCAACUGGGGAACUGCCGUGGAUACUGCCGGCCUCGAGGAGGGUAGGGGCGUCUGGAACUGCCGGUGGAGCGGUGAAAUGCGUUGAUAUCGGCAGGAACUCCGGUGGCGAAGGCGGGACGCUGGACCCUCUCUGACGCUGAGGCGCGAAAGCCAGGGGAGCAAACGGG
rnacentral:rRNA from 1 species